rnacentral:rRNA from 1 species
CUACCAAGACAGUGACGGUUGACGGGGGAUUAGGGUCCUAUUCCGGAGAGGGAGCCUGAGAGAUUCGCUCCCACGUCCAAGGACGGCAGCAGGCGCGAAAAUUCGCCCACUGUUCUGAGGAGGCAGUUAUGAGACGUGAAGAAGAGUGCUUGGCAAAGAGGAGCAGGAGAAUUGGAGGGCAAGUUUGGUGCCAGCAGCCGCGGUAAUACCGACUCCAAGAGUGUGUAUGAGAGAUGCUGCAGUUAAAAAGUCCGUAGUCGACGACAGGAAACAAGGCAGUGGCCUAGUUAUAUGUGUUGGAGGAGCCGGUGGGGAGCACAGUAUGCCAGGGCGAGAGAUGAAAUGCCAAGACCCCUGGUGGACUUAGCGAGGCGAAAGCGGUGCUCUGGCAGGUGUUCGGUGAUCAAGGACGAAGGCUGGAGUAUCGAAAGUGAUUAGAUACCGCAGUAGUUCCAGCAGUAAAAGAUGCC